rnacentral:snoRNA from 1 species
CCCUCCUACAAAGGCAUGUCUGUGGUUUCCUAUCCUUGGACAUAAAAACUGGAGCCAAAGAGAUGUGGGCUUGGAGAAGUCUGGAGCCGGCUUGCUCCCCACAGGCUCAAUUUUUAGGUGGUGAUAAAU